ACGCACCACGAGCUACUGCACGGCGUUUUCCAUGGAGAGCCUGCCGUCCCCGCGGUUCCUCUCCCCCAUCCGGCAGGGAACGAGCGGGUGGCGUACCAGGCCGCGCGAACACGCUCGAACAUGGUGGAUCCUUUAGAAGUCUAUGCCAGACACUGCCACGGUGCUGUUGUGGUCGGCGAGAAGUGUCGCCGGCAUGAGCAGUGAGUGGACUCCACCGCGUCGUGAGCGGGUCCGUGGCUUGGGGCUUGCCACUUGGCCUCGUCCGCCAGCAGCACUGAGGCUUCGCAGCGGGCCAGC